AUUGAACGCUGGCGGCAGGCCUAACACAUGCAAGUCGAACGGUAACAGGAAGAAGCUUGCUUCUUUGCUGCCGAGUGGCGGACGGGUGAGUAAUGUCUGGGAAACUGCCUGAUGGAGGGGGAUAACUACUGGAAACGGUAGCUAAUACCGCAUAACGUCGCAAGCCCAAAGAGGGGGACCUUCGGGCCUCUUGCCAUCGGAUAUGCCCAGAUGGGAUUAGCUAGUAGGUGGGGUAACGGCUCACCUAGGCGACGAUCCCUAGCUGGUCUGAGAGGAUGACCAGCCACACUGGAACUGAGACACGGUCCAGACUCCUAGGGGAGGCAGCAGUGGGGAAUAUUGCACAAUGGGCGCAAGCCUGAUGCAGCCAUGCCGCGUGUAUGAAGAAGGCCUUCGGGUUGUAAAGUACUUUCAGCGGGGAGGAAGGGAGUAAAGUUAAUACCUGUGCUCAUUGACGUUACCCGCAGAAGAAGCACCGGCUAACUCCGU
rnacentral:rRNA from 1 species